rnacentral:lncRNA from 1 species
CAGAAGGUUGCUUCUGUAAAAAUGGAACCAAACUCUUCAGUACCCACAGAGAUAUCUGUGUUUCUGAUUGUGGUUGUACUGGACCAGAUGGUUUACCCAAAGUGCCUGGAGAAACUUGGAUUAGCAACUGCCAGAAAUGUACUUGUGAGGAAUAUUCGCUUAUGGUACAAUGUAUUGAAGAACCAUGUCCUACCAAAGCUACUCCUGUGGAAUGUUCUUUUGAAGGGUUUGUACCCAUCACCAUAUUAACCCCUGAGGAAAAGUGCUGUCCUCAAAAGCAGUGUGGUAGGUACAAUUUUCAUCAAUAUUGUAUUGUAAAUGACCCACGC